UAGGGAAUCUUCCACAAUGGACGAAAGUCUGAUGGAGCAACGCCGCGUGAGUGAAGAAGGGUUUCGGCUCGUAAAACUCUGUUGUUAAAGAAGAACAUAUCUGAGAGUAACUGUUCAGGUAUUGACGGUAUUUAACCAGAAAGCCACGGCUAAACUACGUGCCAC
rnacentral:rRNA from 1 species